UCUGGUUCAGGACGAACGCUGGCGGCGUGCUUAACACAUGCAAGUUGAACGGUAUGACAUGGAAGCUUGCUGAAGUGUCAUAUAGUAGCGGACGGGUGAGUAAUGCAUGAGAAGCUGCCAUUGGGAGGGGGACAACAGUUGGAAACGGCUGCUAAUACCCCGUAUGCCGGAAGGUGAAAGGGAGCGAUCCGCCCGAUGAGGUGCUCAUGUCCUAUCAGCUGGUUGGUGGGGUAACGGCCUACCAAGGCGACGACGGGUAGCCGGCCUGAGAGGGUGAACGGCCACACUGGAACUGAGAUACGGUCCAGACUCCUACGGGAGGCAGCAGUGGGGAAUAUUGGGCCAAUGGGGGCAACCCUGACCCAGCGACGCCGCGUGGGGGAAGACGGCCUUCGGGUUGUAAACCUCUUUUGUACGGGAAGAAGGAAGUGACGGUACUGUACGAAUAAGUCCCGGCUAACUACGUGCCAGCAGCCGC
rnacentral:rRNA from 1 species